AUGAGUGAAGUAUAAACCCCUUUACGAGUAUCAAUUGGAGGGCAAGUCUGGUGCCAGCAGCCGCGGUAAUUCCAGCUCCAAUAGCGUAUAUUAAAGUUGUUGCAGUUAAAAAGCUCGUAGUUGGAUUUCUGUUGUAUAAUUUAUAAUAUUACCAAGGUAAUUAUUAUAUUAUCAACAUCCUUCCUAUUAUAUUCUAAAUAUAUAGGAAAUUUUACUU
rnacentral:rRNA from 1 species